rnacentral:lncRNA from 1 species
GCGAUUCCAAUGGUGCUCCUAGCUAGUCGCAAAUUAAAAUUCACGAAGUUUAGCCGCCUCCUGCACUAAUUAGAUUUUUUUAUACCAGUGAAAUUUUUUUGCUACUUCUGCUAAAUUGGGGGAAAAUCCAAGAAAUUGAGUGAAUCUGAUAGCAUAGAUUUGAAAUGAGAAGGAGAGAAACAAAAAUCUGCUAGAAAGGGUUGUCCAUGAAAGAACCCUAAAACUUAGAUGUUGAACUCUAAAGAGAAGAACUGAGAUCAUUGAACAAAAUGAAUAAUGAUCCAGAAGAUGCUGGGGAAUCCAUAAAAGACGCAUAAGUGACAUAGGUUUAAAGUCUGAAAUGUCCUCAUUACAAUUUUUAUUGACUGCUACGCAGUCGUGUGUUCAGAUUAAGAUUUUUUCAUAUAGUGAAUAUUGUAGACACGUGAUUUUUUAUUCUCACCGAGUUUUAAUCUAUUUGUCG